rnacentral:rRNA from 1 species
UACGAAGGGGGGCUAGCGUUGCUCGGAAUUACUGGGCGUAAAGGGCGCGUAGGCGGACAGUUUAGUCAGAGGUGAAAGCCCAGGGCUCAACCUUGGAAUUGCCUUUGAUACUGGCUGUCUUGAGUUCGGGAGAGGUGAGUGGAAUGCCGAGUGUAGAGGUGAAAUUCGUAGAUAUUCGGCGGAACACCAGUGGCGAAGGCGACUCACUGGCCCGAUACUGACGCUGAGGCGCGAAAGCGUGGGGAGCAAACAGG